rnacentral:rRNA from 1 species
CGUCAUAGAGGGUGAGAAUCCCGUAUGUGACUGGCUUGCACCCUCCACGUAGCUCCUUCGACGAGUCGAGUUGUUUGGGAAUGCAGCUCUAAAUGGGAGGUAAAUUUCUUCUAAAGCUAAAUACCGGCCAGAGACCGAUAGCGCACAAGUAGAGUGAUCGAAAGAUGAAAAGCACUUUGGAAAGAGAGUUAAAAAGCACGUGAAAUUGUUGAAAGGGAAGCGCCCGCAACCAGACUUUGCGGCGGUGUUCGGCUGGUCUUCUGACCGGUUUACUCGCCGCCGUGAGGCCAUCAUCGUCUGGGACCGCUGGAUAAGACCUGAGGAAUGUAGCUCCCUUCGGGGUGUGUUAUAGCCUCUGGUGAUGCAGCGCGUCUCGGGCGAGGUCCGCGCUUCGGCAAGGAUGAUGGCGUAAUGGUUGUCGGCGGCCCGUCUUGAAACACGGACCAAGGAGUCUAACAUCUAUGCGAGUGUUCGGGUGUCAAACCCCUACGCGUAAUGAAAGUGAACGGAGGUGGGAACUUUUUGUGCACCAUCGACCGAUCCUGAUGUCCUCGGAUGGAUUUGAGUAAGAGCAUAGCUGUUGGGACCCGAAAGAUGGUGAACUAUGCCUGAAUAGGGUGAAGCCAGAGGAAACUCUGGUGGAGGCUCGCAGCGGUUCUGACGUGCAAAUCGA